rnacentral:lncRNA from 1 species
GUUUAGAACAUUGGACUAUGAUGGAAUAUGGAGGAGGACAUUGCAUGGAUUAGGACAAAGUUAAAAUAGCAAGAACAAGGUCAUAAAAGAUCAGUUCUUCACAGAAAAAUGUGGGAGAAAAUAUGUUAAAAAAAAAAAAGGAAAAAAGAGAAGCAUGAGAGCAGUAUCUUCUCUCAUCACCCAGUGUCCCAGCUCAGGACUUGGACUGCUCAGCAGGAAGGAACAUCAACACCAAACCACAUUUCCAAGCAAAACAUGAUUCAAGAACAAAAUAAAAGUCUCCUGUCAAAGCUCUGGAUUCAGGCUGCCAUAGUAUUCAUCAGGGAUUGCCCAAAGACAAUCAGCAGAAUCUUCAGAUCUGCUGGUUCACACAGCUACUGGAGCAAUGGAAAGAGAAAUCAGGUAUCAGGAAUGGUCUGAGAGGAUUUACCUGCUGUGUAGUGGAAAUAUUACUGGCCUGACCUCCUGUGACCCCAGAUUAGUGACAAAUACCAAACGGCAUGUAAGUAGACCUCUGAUAUCUAUGACACAGAUGCUCUACUGAAUUUUAAGUGAGUCACAUAUAAAUAAUGACUGCACAGAUAGAUUUAGGAGCUGGAACAUGAAUUUAAUGCAAAGUUAAUGAUCCCUUCUGGAAUUAUAGCAUUUCUUGAGGUAAAGGGGAAUGUAAUGGUUUUGUUUCUAUUCAGUUGCUUGUCUUGGUACUGAGAACUGCACUUGUUUACUCUGGAGAGUUGUUUUGCUGGUUUUGGCUGGGAUAGAGUUAAUUUUCUUCACAGUAGCUUGUAAGAGACUGUGUUUUGGAUUUAGGCUGAGAACAGUGUUGGCAAUUCAGGGAUGUUUUAGUUACUGCUGAGCAGUUCUUGCACAGAGUCAAGAUCUUUUCUGUGCCUCACUCCACCCCACUUCACCAGUGGGCAGCUGGGGAUAUGCAAGGAUUUGGGAGGGGCACC